GAGAACUGCCCUGCCCUACCUGCUCAACAGCUUUCCUUACAUUGACCAGAUUAGUGGGUGCCUUUCCAAGGAUUGUCUCCUGUGACACAGUGGAAACUUUAUAUACUCCAUCUCUCUAAAGCUAGUUCCUUCUCUUUGCUUCAUUAGUGAUUACAUAUUCUGAAUGGAGAAGGAACCAUAACCAGCAAGUAAAUCCAGAUGCUACUGAGAGGAUCCAGGCUCCUGAUUCUCACAUGUGGAAGGCUGAGAUCAACACUAUCUUUUCAGUGAACCAUCACAAUUCCGAGAGAGCACACAGUGAGCUUUCUCAUGGACUACAUAAUUCGUCGUUUUUUAAAAACUAAAACAGAAGGCCAGCUUCUUUCUCCCCAACUCUGAUCUCUUCUUUCUCUAUGUUCUCCUACCAAAUGGAUCUUUACUCUGAAUUAGAAGCCAAUUAGUAAGCCCAAGAGGUACUGAAGGAAUAUGUCAGAGGCAGUGGCUGUCACGACAACACUUGUGAUAUCACAGAAGAAGCUAAAGCUCUACAGGAUAAAGAAAUUUUUCAGGGAAAGCCUACUGAUGAUUUCACUGAGAACUGCCAUGGCCUACCUGCAGAACAGCUGUCCUUACAUUGCCAAUAUUAGAGAGUGCCCUUUCAAGGAGUGUGUCCAUUGACACAGUAUAAAAUUUACAUAUUCCAUCUCCAUAAAGAAAGAGACUUCUCUUUGCAUCAUUAGUGGUUAUAUGCUCUGAACGGCGAAAGUUAGUUAGGGAAUUUGUAUGGGUAGAAAAGAUCUAGGAACAUGGAGUGGAGGAGAAUCUUCUGGAUAAUAAUUUUAUUCACUAGACCAUUCCUGUGAAAUACAAUUCAAUUUCCUAGGGUUCCUCUGUUUCCCAAACGGCAGUAUUUACUAAACAGACCUUUAAUUGAAAGAAUAUUGUAUUACAUUUUCUUACUGUACAUUCCUUGAUAGUGGACUUUACAUAUAUUCCUGAAUGUGUACUCAAAAA